rnacentral:lncRNA from 7 species
AAGUGAGUUUCUUCAGCCCUCUGCCGUGAAGGAUGGAGGAAUGAAUUCAGAGUAUUCCUUCUGGGCGGGUGCAGCGCUGCAGGGGAUGUCAAGGACGGAGCCUGAGCGUCCAUGGAGUGGUGCUGGGUAUGGGGGGAAACGGAAAGCCUGCACAGAAGCUGACACGAGCGGCCUUCCAGCAAAGCGCAGCCUUGCAGAAAGGCAAGGCAGAAGCGCCCAGUGUGGCACAGCACCGAAGAGAGAGAUUGGUGCUGAGGCAAAUGGCAGUAUCUAUGUGAAAGUGGUGCUGCAGGUCCAUUCUGAGAGAUCUUGUCAACAAGCAGCAGCUCAAGCUCCUCACCAGGCUGGAGGGCUUCCUAGAAGAGCAGGUCCCAGCACAGGGGGAAGACCUUCCCCUGCCGCGUGCCCCCGCUCUGUCUCCAACACCCUGGCUGGAUGCAAACGCAAGGGCUUGGAAGAAGAGGAACCAACCGCAGCACAGCUGCCCACCAAUAAGAGAGUGAAGGGGCAGAGCGGAGACAGCGUGCCGGCUCCAGCAGCACACCCUGGGCCUGCUGCAGCGCGGAGCUCCAAGCAAAGAGCAAGAAGACGGCGACAAAAAGAGAGGAGGGUGGAGCUGAAGAAGGCUGCCCUCAGAGCUGCCACUGCACGUGCAGAGGCCUCCGCAGUGAACAGCCUCGUGGAGAUGAUGCAGAAGCUGCAGCUGAAGGACUGAGAGGAGGAGCGUCAGCAGGCAGCGGCUGCAGUGCGCGGCAUUACAGGGCAGUGCUGAGUGCCACCCAACUCGGCACUCCACCUUCACACGUAGUCAAUAAAAACCAGUCACAAUGAAAGAGAGAU